rnacentral:rRNA from 1 species
CCUACGGGAGGCAGCAGUGAGGAAUAUUGGUCAAUGGGCGCGAGCCUGAACCAGCCAAGUAGCGUGAAGGAUGACUGCCCUACGGGUUGUAAACUUCUUUUAUAAAGGAAUAAAAAGCGUCACGUGUACCUUUUUGUAUGUACUUUAUGAAUAAGGAUCGGCUAACUCCGUGCCAGCAGCCGCGGUAAUACGGAGGAUCCGAGCGUUAUCCGGAUUUAUUGGGUUUAAAGGGUGCGUAGGCUGGGAGUUAAGUUAGCGGUGAAAUGCCUCCGCUCAACGGGGCGAAGUGCCAUUUAUACUGGCUUGCUGGAGUGCGGACGCCGUAGGAGGAAUGAGUGGAGUAGCGGUGAAAUGCAUAGAUAUCACACAGAACACCGAUUGCGAAGGCAGCUCACGAAUCCGCGAUUGACGCUGAUGCACGAAAGCGUGGGUAUCAAACAGGAUUAGAUACCCUAGUAGUC